rnacentral:rRNA from 1 species
UUUCCGUAGGUGAACCUGCGGAAGGAUCAUUGUCGAAUCCUGCUAGGCAGAACGACCCGCGAACGAGUGAGAACCACCCCGCGCCCAACCGACGGGAGGGGGAACCCUCCUCCCGCGGGCGCCAACAACGAACCCCGGCGCGAGUCGCGCCAAGGAACCGGAAGUGGAUGUGCGGCCCCCCUCGCACCGGAAACGGUCGUUCGUAGGCGGGCGCACGUCGUUCGUAUCCCAUACGAAACGACUCUCGGCAACGGAUAUCUCGGCUCUCGCAUCGAUGAAGAACGUAGCGAAAUGCGAUACUUGGUGUGAAUUGCAGAAUCCCGUGAACCAUCGAGUUUUUGAACGCAAGUUGCGCCCGAAGCCGUCAGGCCUAGGGCACGCCUGCCUGGGCGUCACGCAACGUCGCCAACGCCCCGUCGCGGGUUACGGCGGAUGCUGGCCUCCCGUGCGCUCCCCGCUCGCGGUUGGCCCAAAACACGGACCCCCGGCGACGGUCGCCACGGCACGCGGUGGUCGGAAGCAAACUGACAAAAGCCGUGGGCAACCGAACCGAACCGCCGCGGGUUCCACAGACCCCGACGCGAUUUCGCAAGAGCGACCCCAGGUCAGGCGGGAACACCCGCUGAGUUUAAG